UACGUAGGGUGCAGGCGUUAAUCGGAAUUACUGGGCGUAAAGCGUGCGCAGGCGGUUUCUUAAGUCAGAUGUGAAAGCCCCGGGCUUAACCUGGGAACUGCGUUUGAAACUGGGAGACUAGAGUGUGGCAGAGGGGGGUGGAAUUCCACGUGUAGCAGUGAAAUGCGUAGAUAUCAGGAGGAACACCGAUGGCGAAGGCAGGUCUCUGGGCUGACACUGACGCUCAUGCACGAAAGCGUGGGGAGCAAACAGG
rnacentral:rRNA from 1 species